GGACACAUGCGGAUGCGCUAGGACCCUCUGAUCAUGGCUCUUAAUCAGCGGGUCCUUGGUUCGAGCCCAAGUGCGUCCACCA
rnacentral:tRNA from 1 species